UGUUUCUCAUGGGUUUAAUUUACUGGCUACUGUGUACUGCUUAGCCCAAGCUAAGCAUCUUUCUGAAAAUGAAGGUUUUUCAGAAAAAAAAAAUGAUUAUUCAUUGCUUAUGAUCAACAAGGGAAAACCCAGUCUGAGUCUUCCAUGUCUACAACCUUUCUGCUAGAAAGUUCAUUAGAUCAUAGAAUGUUGUUUACUUCUCCAGGCUGCCAAUGAUCUAGUGUCAUCAACAGGUCGAUCCUUUAAUGGGCUUUUGGCAUGUUAAUUACCACCCCCAUCUGCUCACUUCUCUCUGCCCCUCUGUAGCCAAACAGUCUGCUACUCUGCUUAGAUUUUGGCUUAGAUUUCCUCACUGCAUUGAGAUACUUGUUUGUGCCAGUGCUUUUGCCUGUGGACCUGAACCAAAAGCACUGAUACUAGACUACCGGAGGCAGGAUCCAACACCUUUCAAUUCUGAUCCCAAUUCGAUUAUGUCAAUAAUAGAAUGAGAACUACUGGGAAUUCGGAUCAAGCAAAGGAGAACUUUUUACGGUGGUCUUCCAGUACCAGAUAGACUGUGGCUUGAUUAGUAUACAGAAAAAAGUGGGUGAGGUAUUUUCAGUGUCAAAAGGUGAAGAAGUACCACUCGUUUGCCUUUGAUACUGAGCUCAUACAUGUGUUGCCUAGGUAUGAACAAUCAAUACACAUCUCACAGUAAUAAAUAACAAUUGCUUUUUAUAUUUUCAGUUAUAUGUAGCAACUGGGUUUCUAAGGAUUGAAGGAAUGAACAACCCAUUAAUGCUGAUGAGGGGAGCUUGUCUUCUGUGAAAAAUUUUAAGGGCAUUGAUGUCCGAACUGCUGCCUCUACCAUGUUGAGAUCUAAGGCCACUCACGAAACAGCUUGGGACUGAGCUUUACAUAACUGUCCAUGUUGUCUGAGAUUAGAAGGCUUCAGCUUCCAAGGAAGAGCAUAAAAGGUUUUGCAGAAGAAAAUGUCUCAACAGUUCGACUGGAGUUGUCCUCUGGAACCAGACAGCCAUUAUUGUAUUUUAGAUUACAUUUAGAGACUUGUGCCAGUGCUUUGACUGCUGGGGACCUGAUCAGCUAGCUGCUGAAGUAGUUGUUAGAGACCAUUGGGACAUGUUUGGGUUCAGAAGAGAAGAAUUGGAACUCAUUCAUGAUCCUAUUUUGGGCUCUACAGGAGAAAACUAAUGUCUUGUGCAUUGUCUCAAGGGAGAAAUAUAAUUGGAUGAAACACACAAGACAGUAGGGCAACUUGAUUAAUUGGGGCAAUGGUGUAUAUCCAAGCUGGUGACUGUUUAUGGUCUUGAAUAACUCUUGGUAAUUCUACCUCUGAUCCCCUGCAAACAUUUUGCUAAGUAGUCAAGGAGCCUGUGGACAAAACUUUAGGGAGUUGAACAAAUGCUGAAUGUCCAGCCUCUGCCAAGUGGACAGUCAUGGUAACCUUAUUUUAUUGUUUUUUCAUUUUUAUUUAUUUAUUUAUAUUUGUGGUAGCCUUGCCUUUUUUUAAUAUAUAGUAGAAUUUAGAAGAUAUUUGCUAAUAUGGCAAUUGCUGAUGUGACAGUUGUUUUUGUUUUGAAAGCCUUACAUUUGCUUUAUACUAGCGAGGACCCGUACGAUAUACGGGAUUUGUCAAGGGAAAGUUAAAGAAUAGAAACUGAUA